AACGAACGCUGGCGGCAUGCCUAACACAUGCAAGCCGAACGAGACCUUCGGGUCUAGUGGCGCACGGGUGCGUAACGCGUGGGAACCUGCCCUUAGGUUCGGAAUAACUCCCCGAAAGGGGUGCUAAUACCGGAUAAUGUCUUCGGACCAAAGAUUUAUCGCCUUUGGAUGGGCCCGCGUUGGAUUAGCUAGUUGGUAGGGUAAAAGCCUACCAAGGCGACGAUCCAUAGCUGGUCUGAGAGGAUGAUCAGCCACACUGGGACUGAGACACGGCCCAGACUCCUACGGGAAGCAGCAGUGGGGAAUAUUGGACAAUGGGCGAAAGCCUGAUCCAGCAAUGCCGCGUGAGUGAUGAAGGCCUUAGGGUUGUAAAGCUCUUUUACCCGGGAUGAUAAUGACAGUACCGGGAGAAUAAGCUCCGGCUAACUCCGUG
rnacentral:rRNA from 1 species